AUUGAACGAUGGCGGCAGGCCUAAAACAUGCCAGUCGUACGAGUGGCGGACGGGUGAGUAAAGUCUGGGAAACUGUCCGAUGGAGGGGGAUAAGUACUGGAAACGGUAGCUAAUACGCAUAGCAUCGGAUGUGCCACGAGGGGAUUAGCUAGGAGGUGGGGUAAAGGCUCACCUAGGCGCCGAUCCCUAGCUGGUCUGAGAGGAUGACCAGCCACACUGGAACUGCGACACGGUCCAGACUCCUACGGGAGGCAGCAGUGGGGAAUAUUGCACAAUGGGCGCAAGCCUGAUUGAGCCAUGCCGCGUGUAUGAAGAAGGCCUUCGGGUUGUAAAGUACUUUCAGCGAGGAGGCGUUACUCGCAGAAGAAGCACCGGCUAACUCCGUGCCAGCAGCCGCGGUAAUAC
rnacentral:rRNA from 1 species